rnacentral:lncRNA from 1 species
CAUACAUCUAUUCAUUUCCAUCUCUAAUUCACCCAAAAUUAUUCUACUCCUAUCCGGGAGAGAAUAGCCAAAAACAUUAUCCUAUCCCUGUUAUUCCCCAUGAAAUAAAUGCUCUUGAUAUUUUGGUUACUACCACUUGCUACAUUAUUCUAGGAGGGUGAGUGCUCUAAAAAAGAGAGAGAGAGAGAGAAGAGAAAAAUACGAGGAAAUAAAAAGGGGCAAGUGCCCGGAACCUCGAAAGAAAAGAAAAAGUGAGACGAGAGGUAAAAAUGGACAAGUGUCCGAUAGUAGAAUUAGGGGUACAAGAUACCCACCUGAGAGAAAAGAAAAAGAAAAUAUAGAGCAUCUCAUUCCCCUAAAAAAUCUUCAAAGUGCAAGUAAGGUAUGUAUCCCCUCAAAAGAGCAAACAUAGAAUUAGACUUUCACCAUUGUUUUCAUCAUUAUCACCAUUAUCACCAUACACCAUUCAUUCGCCACACAUGCACAUCUUGAUUUGACUUAUUGACUUGUUUCUCUGGAUCCAUAGUUUGACUAUGCAAUAAAUGUCUUGUAAGUAUGUAUUAGCUGUCUCCCACCUAUGAGUUCUAGAUAUCAAAACCUUGUUAGAGUAGGG